rnacentral:rRNA from 1 species
CCGAGUGCUAGCAUCAUAUGCUGGCUGUCCAGGUGUGUAAAAUACACCUGUUAGCAAGGGCCGGGCAAGACCGGUGCCAGCCGCCGCGGUAACACCGGCGGCCCGAGUGGUGAUCGUGAUUAUUGGGUCUAAAGGGUCCGUAGCCGGUUUGGUCAGUCCUCCGGGAAAUCUGACAGCUCAACUGUUAGGCCUUCGGGGGAUACUGCCAGACUUGGAACCGGGAGAGGUAAGAGGUACUACAGGGGUAGGAGUGAAAUCUUGUAAUCCCUGUGGGACCACCUGUGGCGAAGGCGUCUUACCAGAACGGGUUCGACGGUGAGGGACGAAAGCUGGGGGCACGAACCGGAUUAGAUACCCGGGUAGUCCCAGCCGUAAACGAUGCUCGCUAGGUGUCAGGCAUGGCGCGACCGUGUCUGGUGCCGCAGGGAAGCCGUGAAGCGAGCCACCUGGGAAGUACGGCCGCAAGGCUGAAACUUAAAGGAAUUGGCGGGGGAGCACAACAACGGGUGGAGCCUGCGGUUUAAUUGGACUCAACGCCGGACAACUCACCGGGGACGACAGCAAAAUGUAGGCCAGGCUGAAGACCUUGCCUGAAUCGCUGAGAGGAGGUGCAUGGCCGUCGCCAGUUCGUACUGUGAAGCAUCCUGUUAAGUCAGGCAACGAGCGAGACCCAUCCGGUUGAUCCUGCCCACUGAGCGACUGGGUGGGUCGCUGGUUCGUCUGGGACGGCAUCCGGGCCCUGGACGUCCUGCUCGAGCAGGACCAGGUCGAUCCGAGCCGCGUGGGUGUGACGGGUGUCUCCGGUGGCGGGACCAUGACUGCCUAUGCCGUGGCCUGCGACGAGCGGAUCACCAUGUCGGCCCCCUGCUGCUGGGUAACGAGCGAGACCC